CAAGUCGAACGAUGAAGCCAGCUUGCUGGUGGAUUAGUGGCGAACGGGUGAGUAACACGUGAGUAACCUGCCCUUGACUCUGGGAUAAGCCUGGGAAACUGGGUCUAAUACCGGAUAUGACUGAUCAUCGCAUGGUGGUUGGUGGAAAGCUUUAUUGCGGUUUUGGAUGGACUCGCGGCCUAUCAGCUUGUUGGUGAGGUAAUGGCCUACCAAGGCGACGACGGGUAGCCGGCCUGAGAGGGUGACCGGCCACACUGGGACUGAGACACGGCCCAGACUCCUACGGGAGGCAGCAGUGGGGAAUAUUGCACAAUGGGCGAAAGCCUGAUGCAGCGACGCCGCGUGAGGGAUGACGGCCUUCGGGUUGUAAACCUCUUUCAGUAGGGAAGAAGCCGCAAGGUGACGGUACCUGCAGAAGAAGCGCCGGCUAACUACGUGCCAGCAGCCGCGGUAAUACGUAGGGCGCAAGCGUUAUCCGGAAUUAUUGGGCGUAAAGAGCUCGUAGGCGGUUUGUCGCGUCUGCCGUGAAAGUCCGGGGCUCAACUCCGGAUCUGCGGUGGGUACGGGCAGACUAGAGUGAUGUAGGGGAGACUGGAAUUCCUGGUGUAGCGGUGAAAUGCGCAGAUAUCAGGAGGAACACCGAUGGCGAAGGCAGGUCUCUGGGCAUUAACUGACGCUGAGGAGCGAAAGCAUGGGGAGCGAACAGGAUUAGAUACCCUGGUAGUCCAUGCCGUAAACGUUGGGCACUAGGUGUGGGGGACAUUCCACGUUUUCCGCGCCGUAGCUAACGCAUUAAGUGCCCCGCCUGGGGAGUACGGCCGCAAGGCUAAAACUCAAAGGAAUUGACGGGGGCCCGCACAAGCGGCGGAGCAUGCGGAUUAAUUCGAUGCAACGCGAAGAACCUUACCAAGGCUUGACAUGAACCGGAAACGCCUGGAAACAGGUGCCCCACUUGUGGUCGGUUUACAGGUGGUGCAUGGUUGUCGUCAGCUCGUGUCGUGAGAUGUUGGGUUAAGUCCCGCAACGAGCGCAACCCUCGUUCUAUGUUGCCAGCACGUGAUGGUGGGGACUCAUAGGAGACUGCCGGGGUCAACUCGGAGGAAGGUGGGGACGACGUCAAAUCAUCAUGCCCCUUAUGUCUUGGGCUUCACGCAUGCUACAAUGGCCGGUACAAAGGGUUGCGAUACUGUGAGGUGGAGCUAAUCCCAAAAAGCCGGUCUCAGUUCGGAUUGGGGUCUGCAACUCGACCCCAUGAAGUCGGAGUCGCUAGUAAUCGCAGAUCAGCAACGCUGCGGUGAAUACGUUCCCGGGCCUUGUACACACC
rnacentral:rRNA from 1 species